rnacentral:lncRNA from 1 species
GAAUAUGUUAUCUAGAUAUUUAUUCGUUUUUCUUCUGAUAUUUUACCUUAUUCAGGAAAUGUUCUUUUUUUCUCUGCUUGAUUUUUCUCCUUUCCAUUAAUGUUUUUAUAUGUAUACAAUUUUUGUUUUGCAUUAUAGUUAUUAGAUGGUAAAAAAAUCUCAUUUUUAUUUUUCCUCUUCAACAGAAGCUCGAAAACACCUUGACAUAACUGUAUUUAGAAACUUAAACAUUUGCCAUUCUACUAAAGCCUGUAGCAUUGGUAGCAUUAAUGCGAUCAGGGUAACAAACUUUUAUCGGUACGUUUUUGUGAAGUUCUUUUUUGUAGUGAAAAUAACAUGAAGUUACAGAGAGAACAGGUUUCUUUGACCUAACAGCUUUGUAAGCAUGAGCAGGAGACUAUCAGAAACUCAGUUUUGCUCACAUCCAAAUUAGACUACUAACAGGCUUGCUGUGAAAAUUAAAAAUGCUGAUGCACAUAAUGUCUAGCACAUAGCAGUUUCUUAACUAAGGUUAGUCAAAAUCUUCUCUCCUCUUCUUUCCUUUCUCUGAUUCCCCUGAAAAUAGAAACUGUUCAUUUCUUGUUGUUGCUGUCUUUGAUAUCCAAGAAUGGUGGAAGUUUACUAGAAUAUACUUGGGAAGAAAUAGAGGUUUAUGUUCUAUUUGAUAAGCCUGCAUUAGUUGAUACCAUAUAAAGUGAUGGCUAAAGCCUCUGCUAUGCAGGAAUGUUACUGAUGUCAUAGACAAUGUUUCUGCAAAGAAAUCAAGUCAAUUUAUCAGGCAUUGAGUGGCCCCUGAAUCCUGUAUAAACCCGUAUGUUAUGUGUGCUUGGAGACACAAGUAAGAACGGGUCAUUGUCCUUGCCCUGAAGGUGCAACUGAUUUCAUGGAGAUAUAAAAUAGGUUAUAAAGUGCCCAUAAAACAGAGCAAAAUAAAAGGAAUGCUAGAUUGAGGUGUAAACCGUGUGCUGUUAGACAGGAGAAAUGAAAAAUUGUUUUGAUAUGAAUUUCAGUGAGAUAUAUUCUAAACAAUUAGAUUUAAAAAAGCAAAAAAAAAAAAAGACCAAAAUUUUCUCAUUGUUCCGAAUUCUCAUUUCAUGACUUUGGCCUGUAAAGGCAGUCUGCAUAUUACAUAAUGUGUCAAGUUUUAGACUAAAGAUGGUACUGCGAAAAACAAAGGGAAAAAAGUACUUCUAUCCAAAAAUAUGCUAAUAUAUUGGUAAGAGUCACAUAGGUCAGCUGGCUUAUUGGUCCAUACUUUUCUUUUUAAAUCUUAUAUGAGGAAAUCUGUGCCAUCAGACAUGAUUUAUCAUAUCCAAUACAGUGGAAUCAUAGCAGUAGUAGUGAUAAUAGCAGCAGCAGCAGUAGAAAUAGUAGGCGAGUGCUACUUCGUAAGUAAGUCACUGCCUUGGCUGUUUUAUUCAGUUUAUUGUUGAUCUGUUUUAUUUAUAGUUUAUUGAAUUCCAACAUAUACUUUUGUGCAUUAUAUUUUAUUGAGAUAUAGUUUGUGUACAGCAAACUGCACAGGUGCCUUUUCUUUUUUUUAAAGAUUUUUAUUUUUUCUAUUAUAGUUGAUAUAUAAUGUUCUGUAAUUUCGGCUUUACAGCAAAGUGACUCAGUCAUACACAGACACACAUGUAUAUAUACAUAUACAUAUAUACACACACAUUCUUUUUCUCACAUAAGAAUCUUUUCAAUGUGUUGGGGUUUUUUUGUUGUUGUUUUGGGGCUCAAUGUGUUUUUCUUUUUUUUCUUUUUUUAUUACUCAAAUGAAUUUAUCACAUCUGUAGUUGUAUAAUGAUCAUAGCAAACUGAUUUCACAGGAUUUCCAUCCCACAGCCCAAGCACAUCUCCCCACCCCCAAACUGUCUCCUUCAGAGACCAUAAGUUUUUCAAUGUCUGUGAGUCAGCAUCUGUUCUGCAAAGAAGUUCAGUCUGUCCUUUUUUCAGAUUCCACAUGUCAGUGAAAGCAUUUGAUGUUGGUGUCUCAUUGUAUGACUGACCUCACUUAGCAUGAUAGUUUCUAGUUUCAUCCAUGUUGCUAAAAAUGCCGGUAUUUCAUUCUUUUUAAUGGCUGAGUAAUAUUCCAUUGUGUAUAUGUACCACAUCUUCUUGAUCCACUCCUCUGUUGAUGGACAUUUAGGUUGUUUCCAUGUUUUGGCUACUGCAAAUAGUGCUGCAGUGAUCACGGAAGUACAUGUGUCUUUGCGAGUCGUGGUUUUCUCUGGGUAGAUGCCCAGGAGUGGGAUUGCUGGAUCAAAUGUUAGAUCUAUUUUUAGUUUUCUGAGGAACCUCCAUACUGCUUUCCACAGUGGUUGCAACAAUUUACAAUCCCUCAAUAUUGACAUCAAGAAUAACACAUUUGGAGUUUCCAUAGUGGUUCAGUGGAAACGAAUCUGACUAGUAACCACAAGGACACAGGUUCAGUCCCUGGCCAGUGGGUUAAGGAUCUGGCACUGCCAUGAGCUGUGGUGUAGGUGGCAGACACAGCGUAGAUCCCAUGUUGCUAUGGCUGUGGCAUAGGCCAGCGGCUACUGCUCCGAUUUGACCCCUAGCUUGGAACCUUCCAUAUGCUGCCAAUGCGGCCCUAAAGAGACCUAAAUAAAUAAAUAAAUAAAUAAAUGGCACACUUUCAUUAUCCCAGAGAGUUCCUGAACUGACUCUGGAGACAACCAGUGUUCUAAUUUUUUUUACCAUAGAUUAAAUUUUCCUGUUCUGGAGCUUUUUCUAUGGAUACCAUAUGAAUAAAAUUGGUGCUCUUCUAUGUCUGGCUUUAUUUACUCAGCAUAGAGCUUUUGAUAUUCAACCAUAUUUUUAGAAUACUAGUCGUUUGUUACUUUAUUUUUGUGUUGUAUUUAGUGAUGCAUUGAUAAAUGUUUAAAUGUUUAAGCUAGAUUUCAAAAAAUCCCCAAAACAAAAUCCCUAAGACAAACAAAACAAGAAAUUCUGAAUGGUAGCCUGAUGUAAACACUCUGAAAGCAGCAAAUUUCAAGCUACCAACAUGUCAUCAGUCAUUUUGAAAAAUUCCUGAAAAUUGCACAGUGAGCUCUUCUGAGCCAGCAUGAGCCUGCUCCAGCUUCCUCUGGUCAUUUCCCAUUGUAUGAAUAUAGUCCAAUUUGCUGGUCAUUUCUACUCUUGAUGUGAAUGUGUGUGUUGUUGCUAUUUCUGCCCUAUUAUGACUACAGCUUCAGUGAAGAUUCUUCUACAAAUCUUGGAUGAACAUGUUUCUAUUACUCUUGUAUAAAUACCUAGGAGUAGAAUUAUUUAGUCUUAGGGUAAGUGUAACUAUAAAUUUAUGAAAAAUAUUGCCA